rnacentral:sRNA from 1 species
UAUUCUGCCCCAUGGGGAAGGAUGAGAAGCUUCGACUAAGGUUCGACUCGAGCGCAGCGAGAGAACGUUGCCGCAGGCAACGGCCCGAAGGGCGAGGCGCUUUAGCGCCGAGUAAUCCUUCCCCCACCACUG